UCUGUGAGCCACUUGUGGCUAAAACAAUUUUUUCUCUGCAUUCAUGCUCUGCAAAUGCAUGAGCUGGCCAGUAAGUUCAUGAUUCUGGUUUCUCCAGCCCUGCAGAGGGUAGGCAGGCCCAAUUUCCUAAAUGGCACUCACUCCAGGGAAGGAAGAUCAGAGCUGGAACAGACUUUUCCUCCAGGCUUCAGUUAGGCACAGCAAGCAUCACGCCACUUGGCUCUGCAGCCCAGCAGCUUGUCCAGCCUGCAGCAGGAGCCAAGGAACACCCAGGACACCGUCACAAGCUCCAGCCCACAAGGCCUCACAGAACAAAUGUGCUUCAACUGAUUCCUUGCAGCUUGGAUAGAGCAUGAUACCAUGUCCAGAACCAGAUUGUAGUGCAUGAAAUACAGGCUUUACCUACCCCUGGAGGAGCCUUGUUCUGCAACAUCCUCAGAAACAGCAGAAUUCCCCCAAUCUGAGUUAUAUAAAAGCUGUUUGAAUCUGAAGUUGGCACAGCUGAUGGGAUUUCUGUCUCAGUUAUUUUUCCUCUCAAUUAAGGGCAGUGAGGUAGACUUCACAUAUACAGAGUGUGACCCUCGGGCUCCAAUCCCUCAGCCAAUUUACCAGUGCUUCAUGGUAAAAAGGAGUCCAAUAUUCUCCCACAUAACCAACCAACCUCUUGCAGUUCACUGCUCACAAAACCCCUUCUCACAAGCUUGUUUCUGCUGUUAUCAGAAUAUUUAUAACUACCUUCCUCUUCACCCUGCCUUUAGAGAGCCCCAGGUGCAUGCUCUUCUCUUUCAAAAGGAACAGGGGAAACCAUC